rnacentral:rRNA from 1 species
UGAGGAAUAUUGGUCAAUGGACGAGAGUCUGAACCAGCCAAGUAGCGUGAAGGAUGACUGCCCUAUGGGUUGUAAACUUCUUUUAUAUGGGAAUAAAGUUUUCCACGUGUGGAAUUUUGUAUGUACCAUAUGAAUAAGGAUCGGCUAACUCCGUGCCAGCAGCCGCGGUAAUACGGGGGAUCCGAGCGUUAUCCGGAUUUAUUGGGUUUAAAGGGAGCGUAGGUGGACAGUUAAGUCAGUUGUGAAAGUUUGCGGCUCAACCGUAAAAUUGCAGUUAAUACUGGCUGUCUUGAGUACAGUAGAGGUGGGCGGAAUUCGUGGUGUAGCGGUGAAAUGCUUAGAUAUCACGAAGAACUCCGAUUGCGAAGGCAGCUCACUGGACUGCAACUGACACCGAUGCUCGAAAGUGUGGGUAUCAAACAGG